CCGCUUUCAGGAGGGACGAAGCCACUCGGGUGAAUAGCCCAGAGGGUGACGGUACCUCCAGAAGAAGCCCCGGCUAACUACGUGCCAGCAGCCGCGGUAAUACGUAGGGGGCUAGCGUUGUCCGGAUUCAUUGGGCGUAAAGAGCGUGUAGGCGGCCAGGUAGGUCAGCUGUGAAAACUGGAGGCUCAACCUUCAGACGUCGGCUGAAACCAUCUGGCUAGAGUCCGGGAGAGGAGAGUGGAAUUCCUGGUGUAGCGGUGAAAUGCGCAGAUAUCAGGAAGAACACCCGUGGCGAAAGCGGCUCUCUGGAACGGUACUGACGCUGAGACGCGAAAGCGUGGGGAGCGAACAGGAUUAGAUACCCUGGUAGUCCACGCCGUAAACGAUGGGCGCUAGGUGUGGGAGGUGUCGACUCCUUCCGUGCCGAAGCUAACGCAUUAAGCGCCCCGCCUGGGGAGUACGGCCGCAAGGCUAAAACU
rnacentral:rRNA from 1 species